rnacentral:rRNA from 1 species
UACGUAGGGUCCGAGCGUUAAUCGGAAUUACUGGGCGUAAAGCGUGCGCAGGCGGUUCGCCAAGACAGGGGUGAAAUCCCCGGGCUUAACCUGGGAACUGCGCUUGUAACUAGCGGGCUAGAGCGCGGCAGAGGGGGGUGGAAUUCCACGUGUAGCAGUGAAAUGCGUAGAUAUGUGGAGGAACACCGAUGGCGAAGGCAGCCCCCUGGGCUAGUACUGACGCUCAUGCACAAAAGCGUGGGGAGCAAACAGG